rnacentral:rRNA from 1 species
UACAGAGGGUGCGAGCGUUAAUCGGAUUUACUGGGCGUAAAGGGCGCGUAGGCGGUUAUGAGAGUGUGAUGUGAAAGCCCUGGGCUUAACCUAGGAAGUGCAUCGCAAACGCCAUAACUGGAGUAUUGGAGAGGGUAGCGGAAUUUCCGGUGUAGCGGUGAAAUGCGUAGAGAUCGGAAGGAACGUCAAUGGCGAAGGCAGCUACCUGGCCAAAUACUGACGCUGAGGCGCGAAAGCGUGGGGAGCAAACAGG